CCUACGGGUGGCAGCAGUGAGGAAUAUUGGUCAAUGGACGAGAGUCUGAACCAGCCAAGUAGCGUGAAGGAUGACUGCCCUAUGGGUUGUAAACUUCUUUUAUAUGGGAAUAAAAUGUUCCACGUGUGGGAUUUUGUAUGUACCAUAUGAAUAAGGAUCGGCUAACUCCGUGCCAGCAGCCGCGGUAAUACGGAGGAUCCGAGCGUUAUCCGGAUUUAUUGGGUUUAAAGGGAGCGUAGGUGGAUUGUUAAGUCAGUUGUGAAAGUUUGCGGCUCAACCGUAAAAUUGCAGUUGAAACUGGCAGUCUUGAGUACAGUAGAGGUGGGCGGAAUUCGUGGUGUAGCGGUGAAAUGCUUAGAUAUCACGAAGAACUCCGAUUGCGAAGGCAGUUCACUGGACUGAAACUGACACUGAGGCUCGAAAGUGUGGGUAUCAAACAGGAUUAGAUACCCUAGUAGUC
rnacentral:rRNA from 1 species